rfam:Ovis aries breed Texel chromosome 6, whole genome shotgun sequence.
UCCCUGGUGGCUCAGAUGGUAAAGCAUCUGUCUACAAUGCAGGAGACCCGGGUUCGAUCCCUGGGUUGGGAA